AACGCUAGCUACAGGCUUAACACAUGCAAGUCGAGGGGCAGCAUGAUUGAAGCUUGCUUCAAUUGAUGGCGACCGGCGCACGGGUGAGUAACACGUAUCCAACCUGCCGAUAACUCGGGGAUAGCCUUUCGAAAGAAAGAUUAAUACCCGAUGGCAUGGGAAGACCGCAUGGUCUUUCCAUUAAAGAAUUUCGGUUAUCGAUGGGGAUGCGUUCCAUUAGAUAGUAGGCGGGGUAACGGCCCACCUAGUCAACGAUGGAUAGGGGUUCUGAGAGGAAGGUCCCCCACAUUGGAACUGAGACACGGUCCAAACUCCUACGGGAGGCAGCAGUGAGGAAUAUUGGUCAAUGGACGAGAGUCUGAACCAGCCAAGUAGCGUGAAGGAUGAAGGUCCUACGGAUUGUAAACUUCUUUUAUAAGGGAAUAAAACCUCCCACGUGUGGGAGCUUGUAUGUACCUUAUGAAUAAGCAUCGGCUAACUCCGUGCCGGCAGCCGCGGUAAUACGGAGGAUGCGAGCGUUAUCCGGAUUUAUUGGGUUUAAAGGGAGCGCAGACGGGUCGUUAAGUCAGCUGUGAAAGUUUGGGGCUCAACCUUAAAAUUGCAGUUGAUACUGGCGUCCUUGAGUGCGGUUGAGGUGUGCGGAAUUCGUGGUGUAGCGGUGAAAUGCUUAGAUAUCACGAAGAACUCCGAUUG
rnacentral:rRNA from 1 species